rnacentral:rRNA from 1 species
GACGAACGCUGGCGGCGUGCUUAACACAUGCAAGUCGAACGGAAAGGCCCUGCUUUUGUGGGGUGCUCGAGUGGCGAACGGGUGAGUAACACGUGAGUAACCUGCCCUUGACUUUGGGAUAACUUCAGGAAACUGGGGCUAAUACCGGAUAGGAGCUCCUGCUGCAUGGUGGGGGUUGGAAAGUUUCGGCGGUUGUGGAUGGACUCGCGGCUUAUCCGCUUGUUGGGGGGGUAGUGGCUUACCAAGGUUUUGACGGGUAGCCGGCCUGAGAGGGUGACCGGCGACCAUGGGACUGAGAGACGGCCCAGUCUGCUAUGUGAGGCAGCAGUGGGGAAUAUUGCACAGUGGGCGGAAGCCUGAUGCAGCAACGCCGCGUUCGGGAUGACGGCCUUCGGGUUGUAAACCGCUUUCGCAUGUGACGAAGCGUGAGUGACGGUAAUGGGUAAAGAAGCACCGGCUAACUACGUG